rnacentral:misc_RNA from 1 species
GCUCUCUCGGUGACGUCUUAUAUGUUAAUUAUUGUUAUUGCUAACUAUUUUGUUUUGCUUGUUCUAUCUUUCACAGUGCUCUUCGUUUCANNNNNNNNAAAAAAAAGAGGAAAAAAAAUGGAAAAAUAAAAUCCCCCUGAAUUGGGAAGAGGUAAAGGUGUCCCUUCACACACUGAACACUCACACAAUGUCCUCACACACUAUGGUCCUAACCCGGGCUUUCUUACCCUUUUAGGAAAGUAGGAGGGGUACCCGUGGGUUUUACCCCGUUAGUAUCCGUGAAGGCUUCUGCUCAAAUUGAAACUCGUUCUAUUUACCGUGAUACCCGUGGAAUUUUCCCGACAAUAUCAUGGGGGUAGAAUGGGGCG